rnacentral:rRNA from 1 species
CAUGGCUCAGAUUGAACGCUGGCGGCAGGCCUAACACAUGCAAGUCGAACGGUAACAGGAAGCAGCUUGCUGCUUUGCUGACGAGUGGCGGACGGGUGAGUAAUGUCUGGGAAACUGCCUGAUGGAGGGGGAUAACUACUGGAAACGGUGGCUAAUACCGCAUAACGUCGCAAGACCAAAGAGGGGGACCUUCGGGCCUCUUGCCAUCAGAUGUGCCCAGAUGGGAUUAGCUUGUUGGUGAGGUAACGGCUCACCAAGGCGACGAUCCCUAGCUGGUCUGAGAGGAUGACCAGCCACACUGGAACUGAGACACGGUCCAGACUCCUACGGGAGGCAGCAGUGGGGAAUAUUGCACAAUGGGCGCAAGCCUGAUGCAGCCAUGCCGCGUGUAUGAAGAAGGCCUUCGGGUUGUAAAGUACUUUCAGCGGGGAGGAAGGUGUUGUGGUUAAUAACCGCAGCAAUUGACGUUACCCGCAGAAGAAGCACCGGCUAACUCCGUGCCAGCAGCCGCGGUAAUACGGAGGGUGCAAGCGUUAAUCGGAAUUACUGGGCGUAAAGCGCACGCAGGCGGUCUGUCAAGUCGGAUGUGAAAUCCCCGGGCUCAACCUGGGAACUGCAUUCGAAACUGGCAGGCUUGAGUCUUGUAGAGGGGGGUAGAAUUCCAGGUGUAGCGGUGAAAUGCGUAGAGAUCUGGAGGAAUACCGGUGGCGAAGGCGGCCCCCUGGACAAAGACUGACGCUCAGGUGCGAAAGCGUGGGGAGCAAACAGGAUUAGAUACCCUGGUAGUCCACGCCGUAAACGAUGUCUACUUGGAGGUUGUGCCCUUGAGGCGUGGCUUCCGGAGCUAACGCGUUAAGUAGACCGCCUGGGGAGUACGGCCGCAAGGUUAAAACUCAAAUGAAUUGACGGGGGCCCGCACAAGCGGUGGAGCAUGUGGUUUAAUUCGAUGCAACGCGAAGAACCUUACCUGGUCUUGACAUCCACAGAAGAAUCCAGAGAUGGAUUUGUGCCUUCGGGAACUGUGAGACAGGUGCUGCAUGGCUGUCGUCAGCUCGUGUUGUGAAAUGUUGGGUUAAGUCCCGCAACGAGCGCAACCCUUAUCCUUUGUUGCCAGCGGUUAGGCCGGGAACUCAAAGGAGACUGCCAGUGAUAAACUGGAGGAAGGUGGGGAUGACGUCAAGUCAUCAUGGCCCUUACGACCAGGGCUACACACGUGCUACAAUGGCGCAUACAAAGAGAAGCGACCUCGCGAGAGCAAGCGGACCUCAUAAAGUGCGUCGUAGUCCGGAUUGGAGUCUGCAACUCGACUCCAUGAAGUCGGAAUCGCUAGUAAUCGUGGAUCAGAAUGCCACGGUGAAUACGUUCCCGGGCCUUGUACACACCGCCCGUCACACCAUGGGAGUGGGUUGCAAAAGAAGUAGGUAGCUUAACCUUCGGGAGGGCGCUUACCACUUUGUGAUUCAUGACUGGGGUGAAGUCGUAACAAGGUAACCGUAGGGGAACCUGC